AAUGCAUAAUUACAAUAUCGUAUCGUUCGAAGCACGUUGUAUUCAUACAAUCGAGGAAAGGUAAUUGGAGCAUAUCAUUAGCAUAAGGAGCAUAUCGAUGACAUAUGGUAGUUUUCAAGGUAUAACAAAGACUUAUAACAUUUCGGAAAUAUAUCAAAAAAUAAAACAUGAAUAGAAGCUCAAAUGUCACAUGACGAUGCAUUCAUUUCAUUCUUAUCCAAAGCAUGCAUAGAAACAUAGCCAAAGCUUUGGAUAUCAUAUCAAACACAUAGAAGGUGAAGUGGGAUCAUAACAUAAUAUGGUCCAUCCAUUUCUGAAUGACCAACAAACAUAAGUCUCCCACGUCUGGGAGCUCCAUCCACCCACGUCUGAGUGAAGUCAUAGGGGGCCGGCAGAGCAUCGCGGGCUCUAAGCAUAACUCCCUUUACCAUUUCUGGCAAAGGUUCACAUUUAUCCCACAAACUCCGGAGUACAAAGGGACAGUAUGAAUAAUGAAAUUAGCAUAUAUUGGAAGCACAUGUGGAACAACGAAAUGUACAUAUGUCUUUCGAGUCAAUACGAUACAAACAUAAUCUUUCACAAAUGUAUUCAGAUUUGAAAGGAAACAAAAGCAAGAGCAUACAAGGAUUUCAAGAAAUCAUAUAUAGCUCAAUUGAAAUAAGAAAGUUAGAUAAAUUCAAUGUCCAAAUAAAUGAAACUGGAAGAGGCACGUAUCGAAAGCAAAUGUGGAACAAUGGGAUGCAUGUGCUGAAUCAUUAUGAUGCAAACAUGAUCUUUAGAUGAUAGCUGCAGAUGUACAAAUAAAUAAAGGACAAAAGUAUACAGGAAUUUAAGGUAAUAAUGUAAAGCUUAACUGAAGUAAGAGUUUUUGCCGAAAUCGAUUUCCAAAGAGAAGAAACAAGGAAAGCCGAAAUCAACCAAAGCUCGAUUCUGGCAGAAUUUGAUAGGAACAUUGUAUGAACUAUUUGGAUAACCAAUUAUGCUCCAAUUUAUACAAAAUAUGUGUCAUUAGAAAGCUUUGCCAAUCUAGUUUCAGGAAAAUCAAGUUUAACAAGAAUUGGAAUUUAUAACAGGGAGUUACAGAUAAUUUCGUAGAGAAAGGUCUGAAAAUAUUAGCUCUGUUUUACUGAAUCCAUAGGGUCGAUGAAAGCAGAUGUUUUAGUUAGCAAUUGUACUCCAAAAAUUUCAAAUCAGGUAUAUACAGAAAGCAUUUUGAGUCUAGCUUCGAAUAAAUAAUACUUUGUAUGAAUCUGAGUUCACAGCAGAAAGUUAUAAGUAGUUAAGCAACAAGAGGUCAGAAAUUUCGGUCCCUAUUUUACAGAAUCUGUAGGGUUAAUUUAAACAGAAGUCUUAGUAAGAAUUUAAACUCCAAAUCAUUCGAUCUUAGUAUCAAAAUAAAGAUUUUUUUGUCUACUUUCAAAUAGAAUAGGUCUUGUCUAAAUCAGAGUUUAUUACAAAAUGUUAUGACCGAAACAUUGCAUAGAGGUCAGAUUACCGAAAAAUUACAGAUUCAUAACUUUAUAUCAAAACGAAAUAAGGUCUGGUUCUCAGUUGAAAUCUUUCAAAUUUUACAGAAUAAAAAUGGAAAUAGAGAUUAAGGUUAUUGUGGGAUGGGGUUAGAACACUUGCCUUAAAAUUAUUUGAAUCCCAAAUGUGAGAAAAUUGAUGAAAAACCUCAAGCUCUUCUUCUUCUUCUUCUUCUUCUUCUUCUUCUUUUUCUCAAACUCACGUUGGCUGCAACUCUUCAGGUUUAUUUUCUUUAACCUUUCAUCUAAUUAUUUGGGUUUUGGCUAAUGCAAAAGUUGCAAGGUGUCAUGCAUGCAUGAAAGGGGCUAGGUGUCAUCUUUAGAGCAAAGAUAAGUGGCACCAAUCUUAGGUUAGCUAGUGACACAUGUCCACUAUAUAUAUUUUUUUUAAACUUAAAUCUGAAUCUUUCAUAAAUUAUAUCAAACUUUUAAUAUUUACUCUUAGGUCCCGAGCCAUAAACUUUUAAUAUAAUAUCAUUGAAUAUAAAAUAAUUAUUAAAUAAUUUUUAUUUUUACAAACAAAUCUUUUACUAAUUUUUUUUAAAAAUGGGGGAUGUUACACUCUCCCCUCCUUAAAGAAAAAUUUAGUUCUCUAAAUUUAUCAUACCUCAUUCGACGAAAAGAUGAAGAUAAGCUUUCAUCAUUUCUUCCUCGAGCUCCCAAGUUGUUUCCUCUCCAGAAUGUUAUCUCCAGAUCACUUUAACUAGAGGGAUAACCCGAUUCCUCAAGAUCUUUUCUUUUUUUAUCAACAAUCUGAGUGGGCUCUUCCACAUAAGACAAGUCUUUAUCAAUCACCAUCGGCUCAUACUUAAUGAUAUGAGAGGGAUCAGGUAUAUACUUUCUGAUCAUUGAAACAUGAAAUAUAUCAUGGAUAUGGCACAAUGAUGGUGGCAAGACAAUCCUGUAAGCGACAGAACCAACCCUCUCAAGAAUCUCAAAAGGUCCAAUAAAUCUUGGGCUUAACUUUCCUUUCUUCCCAAAUCUUAUAAUGCCUUUAGAAGGGGAGACAUUCAGGAAUACAAAAUCCCCGAUUUGAAACUCAAUAUUUCAUCUUCUAUUAUCAGCAUAACUCUUUUGACGACUCUGAGCAGUCUUUAACCUUUUUCUUAUAAGUUGAAUUUUCUCAGUAGUCUCUUGUACUUUUUCUGGUACUAAUUACUUUCUGUCGCCAAUUUCUUCCCAACAUAUAGGCGUCCUAUACUUUCGCCCAUAUAAAGCUUCAUAAGGAGCCAUCUGAAUACUUGAAUGAUAACUAUUAUUGUAAGUGAACUCAAUAGGAGAGAUAUCUUUAUCCCAUUCACCUUUCCAAUCCAUAACAUUGGCUCGAAGCAAAUCCUCAAGUGUUUGAAUGAUUCUUUCUGAUUGACCAUCAGUUUGAGGGUGAUAAGCAAUGCUAAACUUGACUUUAGUGCCAAUAGAUUCCUGUAACCUUCUCCAAAAUCUAGAUAAAAAUCUGGAGUCUCUGUCAGAGAUUAUCUCUUUUGGAACACCAUGAAGUCUUACUAUUUCAUUUAUAUAUAAAUCUGCAAGCCUAUCAAGAGAAUAAGUCAUAUUGAUCGGUAGAAAAUGUGCAGAUUUCGUUAACCUAUCAAUGAUAACCCAAAUAGCAUCAUGCUUUCUAGAAGUUCGGGGUAGUCCUGAAAUAAAGUCUAUGGUAAUACAUUUCCAUUUCCAUUCAGGAAUAUCUAAAGGUUGCAACAAACCUCCAGGUCUUUGGUGUUCUGCUUUGAUUUGCUGACAAGUCAAACACUUUGAAACAUAUAUUGCAAUCUCCUUCUUCAUGCCUUCCCACCAAUAAUGACUUUGGAGAUCUCUAUACAUCUUAGUGCUACCAGGAUGCAUGGUGUACUUUGAAUUAUGACCAUCCCUCAGGAUUUGAUUUUUGAUAUCUAAGUCAUUUGGAACACAUAUUCUAUCCCCAAAUCUCAAUAGGCCAUCCUCUGAAAGUCGAAAAUUCAGUUUCAAUCCCUUUUUUUACUUCAUUCCUUAAGCAGAUCAAGUGUCGAUCUCGUAGUUGUCCUCCUUUAAUUUGUUGAAUGAGAUCAUAUUACACUUGGAUGGAGGCCAUUAAUAUCAUUGAGUCUUGCCAUUUUCUCAUAACAUUCGAAUCAUAAUUCUCUUCUAAUAACUUCCAUUCAUUCACAACCAAAGUCGUCAUAAAACUUGUAGAUUUUCUACUAAGGGCAUCUGCUACAACAUUAGCUUUACCCGGGUGAUAACGAAUGGUAUAAUCAUAAUCCUUUAGAAAUUCUAUCCAUCUUCUUAACUAACACCGGAGCACCCCAUGAAACACUGGCCCAAAUAAAACCCUUAUAUAAUAGUCCUUGUAGUGGCUUUUUUUUUUUUCAAUUCCACUUACUCAAAUGGUGUCAUUCUAUAAAGAGGCUUAGAUAUUGGAAUUAUCCCAAGGACCAAAUCAAAAGCAAAUUCACCCUCUUUGUCUAGAGGUAAUCCAAGCAAGUCAUCUGGAAAUACAUCAGGCAAAGAGGUAAAUCAUGUCCAAUACUCUCAAAAUAAAAGAUGAGAUGAUCAAUAAUCAUUUUGUAUAACACUCUAUACUGGUAUGAUUGGAAGAUAGUCAACUCAUACUUAGUAUAAUAUCAAAACUCCAAAUAUCUAGGAGAACCAAAUCAGCAAGAAGUUCGUGUUCUCCAAUAGAAAUCAAACAAGAUGACCAGAUCGAGUUUGUUAUCAAACAAUCCCUAAUAGUCGUAUUUACAUAUAGCAUAUAAUCCAGUGGUUUAGGUUGAAUGCCCAUGUGAUAAGCAAAAUAUUACGAAUCAAAUCAUAGAUGAGACACAUGGUCAAACAAAUAUUUGCAUUCUUUCAUAAACAUAAAUAGUACCUUUGACCACUAAUUCAGAAGCUUUAGAAUCAUAUUCCGUGAUAAUAUACACUCUGACAUGGACUGAUGAUUUAUGAGGCAGUGAUUCUUUCUUCUUAUUCAAAGGGCAGUCUUUUAUUUAAUGAUCCAAAUUUCAAUAAGCAAAAUAAGCUCUAGUCACCCUACGAAUACAAACUUAUUUCAUAAUUUAACUCGCAUCUUACACAGGAUUGAAUUUUUUUGUGGUGACUUUCCUUUUCAAAUCGAUAAUGUCUUGACCCUCCUAUUAUCACAUUCUAAUUCAUUUCUAAUCUUUUUUUUUUUUUUGGUAAACUUGUCCUUGCUAUUCCUGUUCUUGAUCUCAAGAAAUUCUUUUGAUCAUCAGUACAAUUUCAUACAUCAAAUAUCUUCUCCAAUCGUAUUAUCUAUUUUUCUACUACCAAUGUAUUAGGUUCACCACGCUUCUAUUGUGCUACUUUGAUUUAAUAUCCCCAAUCAACCCUUUUAUCGCACUUAAUUAAUCAAAAGCAAAUGAAGUAGGAGGACUAAAUGUCCUCGUCAUCCUAGAUUCGUAAAAUGCAUCAAAGAAAAUUUUCACCAAUCACUAUAGUUCACUAGACCUCAAUAUAUUUUGCACGUCAACAUAUCAAAUAUUUCAGUGAUACUCAAACCAUGCUCUGAUACCACUCUGUCACGUCCCCCCCCACAAAUUAAAAUUCUCAUUCAGAAGGUGUGAACCUAACUCAAUAUUGGUAAUAUUAUAAUUCAACAAACAAUCCAGGAUCCAAUCAUACAUAUGAGAUCACUAAGAAAAACAUUCAAGUCAUUCACCUCUACAAUCCACAAUUCUCAAAACCUGUGUAGUUUAUAAUCAUACAUCAUGUCACUAGAUAAUUCUUUAAAAUCCAAAAGCAACUUAACUAAACCAUAACUAUAUCAUAAAUCCAUAAGCGCGGCAAUUAAUGCAAUCACAAAACCAACAUUACGACAUGUUUAUAUCAGUACACAGUUUUAAACUUAACAUUUCCAAAAUCCGGACGUAAGAGGUACUUUUCAAAUAUUUACAAGAUACAUCAAUCUAGAUUUGUCAUUGAUAUUUCAUUACACCAAAAAAGAACUUAUACAACAUCAACCUAUCAAGUACAAAAUAUUUGCUCCAAAAUCUUCUAGUCUUCCACUGCCUCAACCCAAUUUACACAUUUUAGUGAGCGAUAAGCUAUCCUGAAAAAAAUUAUAUAUCAACGGGGUGAGCAUAUAAAGCUCAGCAAGUGACUAACAUAUCCAUAGCAAAGAGGACAUGUUUCAAACAAAUAAGGUAUCAAACUACAAAGCAGAGAUACAAGAUGAAACAGUAGCAUAUUUUGUUUGAAUGCAGAAUUACAAUGUCAUAUCGUUCGAAGCACGUUUUGUUCAUACAAUCGAGGAAAGGUAAUUGGAGCAUAUCAUUGGCAUAAGGAGCAUAUCGAUGACAUAUGGUAAUUUCAAGGCAUAACAAAGACGUAAGGAGCAUUUUGGAUAUCAUGAAUGCAGAAUUACGAUAUCAUUUGGUUCGAAGCACAUUUGUUCAUACAAUCGAGGAAAGGUAAUUGGAGCAUACAAUUGGCAUAAGGAGCAUAUCGAUGACAUAUGAUAAUUUCAAGGCAUAAUAAAGAUGUAAGGAGCAUUUUAGAUAUCAUGAAUGCAGAAUUACGAUGUCAUUUCGUUCGAAGCACGUUUUGUUCAUACAAUCGAGGAAAGGUAAUUGGAGCAUACAAUUGGCAUAAGGAGCAUAUCGAUGACAUAUGGUAAUUUCAAGGCAUAACAAAGACGUAAGGAGCAUUUUGGAUAUCAUGNNNNNNNNNNNNNNNNNNNNUUAUACAUCUUAGUGCUACCAGGAUGCAUGGUGUACUUUGAAUUAUGACCAUCCCUCAGGAUUUGAUUUUUGAUAUCUGAGUCAUUUGGAACACAUAUUCUAUCCUUAAAUCUCAAUAGGUCAUCCUCUGAAACUCGAAAAUUCACUUUCAAUCCCUUUUCUACUUCAUUCCUUAAGCGGAUCAAGCGUCGAUCUCGUAGUUGUCCUCCUUUAAUUUGUUGAAUGAGAUCAGAUUGCACUUGGAUGGAGGCCAUUAAUAUCAUUGAGUCUUGCCCUUUUCUCAUAACAUUCGAAUCAUAAUUCUCUUCUAAUAACUUCCAUUGCUUCGCAACCAAAGUCGCCAUAAAACUUAUAGAUUUUCUACUAAGGACAACUGCUACAACAUUAGCUUUACCCGGGUGAUAACGAAUGGUACAAUCAUAAUCCUUUAGAAGUUCUAUCCAUCUCCGCUGUCUCAUAUUUAACUCUUUUUGAGUAAAAAUAUACUUUAAACUCUUAUGAUCAGUAAAGAUUUCAAAUGUUCGUCCAUACAAGUAAUGCCUCCAAAUCUUUAGAGCAAAAACAAUUGCUGCCAAUUUUAAAUCAUGAGUUGGAUAAUUUAGUUUAUAACUCUUUAGUUGUCUAGAAGCAUAAGCAAUCACUUUCCCUUCUUGCAUCAAAACACAUCCAAGGCCCUUUCUUGAGGCAUCAGUGUAAACCAUAAAUCCCUCAUCACCACUUGGAAUAGUGAGAAUAGGGGCAGUAGUCAAUCUCCUUUUUAACUCUUGAAAACUUUGCUCACAAUCAUCACCCCAUACAAAUUUCACAUUCUUUUGAGUGAGUUUGGUGAGAGGUUGAGCGAUUCGAGAAAAUCCCUCCACAAAUCUCCUAUAAUAACCUACCAUGCCCAAGAAGCUUCUAACUUCUGUCACGUUUGUUGGUCUUCCCACUUAACAACAGCUUCCACUUUCUUUGGAUCAACAGAUAUACCCUUCCCUGAAAUCACAUGGCCUAAGAAAGCAAUUUCAUUCAACCAAAAUUCACAUUUGCUGAACUUUGCAUACAACUUCUUUCUAUUAGUAUGGAUAAUAUAUUUAUCAAGUGUUCCUCAUGCUCCUGAUUACUCAUUGAAUAUACUAAUAUGUCAUCAAUGAAUACAAUCACACAAUCGUCCAAGAAUGACUGAAAUCCUAUUCAUCAGUUUCAUAAAAGCUGCAGGGGCAUUAGUUAAACCAAAAGGCAUCACUAAGAAUUCAUAGUGACCAUAUCGAGUUCUAAAAGCUAUUUUUGGAAUAUCCUCCUUCAUGAUCUUCAACUGAUAGUAACCUGACAUUAAAUCAAUCUUGGAGAAUACUUGUGCACCCUGCAAUUGAUCAAACAAAUCAUCAAUUCUGGGUAGGGGAUACUUGUUUUUGAUGGUCACCUGAUUCAAUUAUCUAUAAUCAAUACAAAGCCUUAACGUUCCAUCCUUCUUCUUAACUAAUAGCACCGGAGCACCCCAUGGUGAAACACUGGGUCGAAUGAAACCCUUAUCUAAUAGUUCUUGUAGUUGCUUUUUCAAUUCCUCUAGCUCGGGUGGUGCCAUUCUGUAAGAAGUCUUAGAUAUUGGGGUUGUCCCAAGAACCAAAUCAAUAGUAAAUUCACCUUCUCUAUCUGGAGAUAAACCAGGCAAGUCAUCUGGAAAUACAUCAGGGAACUCUUUGACCACUGUAAUUUCAUUUAGGUGAGUUUCUUGAUUUGAAUGCUCCUUUACACACACCAUAUAACAAAAACAACCCUUCUGUAUAAAAUGAUAAGCUUGAAGUGCUGAUAUCGAGCAAGGAGGCAAAUCAUGCCUAAUACCCUCAAAGUAAAAUAUAGGCUGAUCUGGUAUGCAGAAAGUAAUUAUUUUUGUAUAGCAAUCAACACUAGCAUGAUAGGAAGAUAGCCAAUCCAUGCCAAGUAUAAUAUCAAAACCCUGGAUCUCUAGGAGAAUCAAAUCAGCAAGAAGUUCACAUUUUCCGAUAGAAAUCAAACAAGAUGGAUAAACCAAGUUUGUUGUCAAAGAAUCCCCAACGGCAGUAGUUACAUAUAACAUAUAAUCCAAGGGUCUAGGUUCAAUGCCCAAGUAACAAGCAAAGUGUUGUGAAACAAAAGAUACGUUGGAACCAGGAUCAAACAAAACUUUUGCAUUUCUUUUAGAAACAUGAAGAAUACCUUCAACCGCUGAUUUAGAGGCUCUGGAAUCUUGUUCAGUAAUAGCAUAUACUCUAACAUGGGUUGUUGACUUAGGAGGCAGUGGCUCUUUCUUCUUGUUCAGUGGGCAAUCUCUUACUUUAUGAUCUAAUUUCCCGCAAGCAAAACAAGCUCUAGUCGUCCGAAAACAUUGACUUGUUUCAUGAUUUAAUCCACAUUUAGCACAUGAAUGAGUCCUUUGUGGUGGUUUUUCUUUCUCAAAUCUGGACAUCUUGACCCUCUUAUAACUUGUUUCAGAUUCAUUCCCUCUCUUACUUUUGCUGAUAAACUUCUUAUCUUUCUUGUCCCUGAUUUCUUGAAUUUCCUCCAAGUCUCUUUCAAUUAUCAAAGCCCUUUCGACCACAUCGGCAUAAGCUUGGAGUUUUAAUGCUGAUAUUCGACUUCUUAUAACUGGCCUUAGACCCCUUUCAAAUUUCUUUGCUUUUCUAAUUUCAUCAUAAGUUAUAUGAGUGGCAAAUCUAGAGAGCUCAGUGAGUUUGGAUUCAUACUUUGCAACUGUCAAAUUUCUCUAGAUGAGAUCCAAGAACUCCAAUUCUUUCUGCUCUCUAAUACAAUCUGAAAAAUAUUUAUCGUUGAACUUUUCUAUGAAUGCCUUCCAUGUGAUUGGCUCAUGUUUGAUUUCAUAAAUCCUUUUAAUCAUUCUCCACCAGUGCUCGGCCUCUCCUUCCAAUAUAAAGGCAGUAAGAGAAACCUUUUGGUCUUCAGGGCAAUUUAAGACAUCAAAUAUUUUUUCUAUCUGCAUCAUCCAUCGUUCUGUUGUCAUUGGAUCAGGCUCACCACUAAAACUAGGAGGACUAAGCUUCUUAAACUGUUCAAUUCCCAACCUAGUAUGGUUUGAUGCCCCCGUUCUAUUAUUUCCUCGUUGGACUUGUUGUUGCAUCACUUGUGUCAUAGUCUCCAGAGUUCUCAUAAUUCCACUUAAUUGAUCAGCAGUAGAUGCAAUAGGAGAACCAGAUGUCCUCGUCAUCCUUGCUUCCUAAAAACAACAAAAGAGAAUUUUUUUUUAUCAAUCUCUGAAUAAAAUUCACUAAACCACCAAAUUAUUUUUGUGUAUCUAGCAUAUCAAAAUAAUAAUAAUAAUAAUAAUAAUAAUAAUAAUAAUAAUAAUAAUAAUAAUAAUAAUAAUAAUAAUAAUAAUAAUAAUAAUACUUANNNNNNNNNNNNNNNNNNNNNNNNNNNNNNNNNNNNNNNNNNNNNNNNNNNNNNNNNNNNNNNNNNNNNNNNNNNNNNNNNNNNNNNNNNNNNNNNNNNNNNNNNNNNNNNNNNNNNNNNNNNNNNNNNNNNNNNNNNNNNNNNNNNNNNNNNNNNNNNNNNNNNNNNNNNNNNNNNNNNNNNNNNNNNNNNNNNNNNNNNNNNNNNNNNNNNNNNNAAAUAAUAAUAAUAAUAAUAAUAAUAAUAAUAAUAAUAAUAAUAAUAAUAAUAAUAAUAAUAAUAAUAAUAAUAAUAAUAAUCUUAGUGAUCCUCAAAUCAUGCUCUGAUACUACUAUGUCAUGCCCCCCAAAUUUAAUUCUCAUUUAGGAGGUGGGAACCUAAUUCAAGAUUGAUAAUAUUUAAUUCAACAAACAAUCCAGGAUCCAAUCACACAUUUGAGGUCACUAAGAAAAACAUUCAAGUCAUUCACCUCUACAAUCCACAAUUCAUAAAACCUAUGCAGUCUAUAAUCAUACAUCGUGUCACUAGAUGAUUCUUAAAAUCCAAAAGCAACUUAACUAAACCAUAACUAUAUCAUAAAUCCAUAAGCGCGGCAAUUAAUGCAAUCACAAAACCAACAUGUACUACAUGUUUAUAUCAGUACACAGUUUAGACUUAACAUUUCCAAAAUCCUAACGUAAGAGGUACUUUUCAAAUAUUUACAAGAUACAUCAAUCUAGAUUUGUCAUUGAUAUUUCAUUACACCCAAAAAGAACUUAUACAACAUCAACCUAUCAAGUACAAAAUAUUUGCCCCAAAAUCUUCUAGUCUUCCACUGCCUCAAUCCAAUUUACACAUUUUAGUGAGCGAUAAGCUAUCCUGAAAAAUUUAUAUAGCAACGGGUUGAGCAUAUAAAGCUCAGCAAAUGACUAACAUAUCCAUAGCAAAGAGGACAUUUUUCAAAACAAAUAAGGUAUUAAAAUACAAAGCAGAGAUAUAAGAUUAAACAGUAGCAUGUUUUGUUUGAAUGUAGAAUUACAAUAUCGUAUCGUUCGAAGUACGUUUUAUUCAUACAAUCGAGGAAAGGUAAUUGGAGCAUAUCAUUGGCAUAAGGAGCAUAUCGAUGAUAUAUGGUAGUUUUCAAGGUAUAACAAAGACUUAUAACAUUUCGGAAAUAUAUCAAAGAACAAAACAUGAAUAGAAGCUCAAAUGUCACAUGACGAUGCAUUCAUUUCAUUCUUAUCCAAAGCAUGCAUAGAAACAUAGCCAAAGCUUUGGAUAUCAUAUCAAACACAUAGAAGGUGAAGUGGGAUCAUAACAUAAUAUGGUCCAUCCAUUUCUGAAUGACCAACAAACAUAAGUCUCCCACGUUUGGGAGCUCCAUCCACCCACGUCUGAGUGAAGUCAUAGGGGGCCGACAGAGUAUCGCGGGCUCUAAGCAUAACUCCCUUUACCAUUUCUGGCAAAGGUUCACAUUU
rnacentral:lncRNA from 1 species